GGGGAUGUAAAGGCUUCGACGGGGAAAGUAAACCUUGGCAAGCGGGCAGCGCGCGGAACGCUAUAUCUCCGCAAACUAAAUUUUAAAUGACAACAAUAAAGUUGUAAACGCUAAUACUACUAACUAUAGGAUGGCGUACGCAGCCUAAUUAAUUAGACUGCCGUCCUUACCGGAAGCACCGCGGUCCGGCUAAGGGCGUGAUUUAGCGGUGAACGUGAGCCGGAAAACGCCUUUAUUCCGGCCAUGACUUAAAGGCUACUGAGCUUUGCCGCCUGCCUUUAGGCGGCAAAGCAAGGGAAUUUUAAAUUAAAGGCUACGCCCGUAGAAAACCCUGGCAAGCUUUUUCCGGACACGAGUUCGACUCUCGUCAUCUCCACCA
rnacentral:tmRNA from 1 species